ensembl:snRNA U6 U6 spliceosomal RNA
GUGCUUGCUUUGGCAGCACAUAUACUAAAAUUGGAAUGAUACAGAGAAGAUUAGCAUGGCCCCUGCACAAGGAUAACGUCAAUAAAAAUAAAUAAAUCUUA